GACGAACGCUGGCGGCGUGCCUAAUACAUGCAAGUUGAGCGAUGAAGAUUGGUGCUUGCACCAAUUUGAAGAGCAGCGAACGGGUGAGUAACGCGUGGGGAAUCUGCCUUUGAGCGGGGGACAACAUUUGGAAACGAAUGCUAAUACCGCAUAAUAACUUUAAACAUAAGUUUUAAGUUUGAAAGAUGCAAUUGCAUCACUCAAAGAUGAUCCCGCGUUGUAUUAGCUAGUUGGUGAGGUAAAGGCUCACCAAGGCGAUGAUACAUAGCCGACCUGAGAGGGUGAUCGGCCACAUUGGGACUGAGACACGGCCCAAACUCCUACGGGAGGCAGCAGUAGGGAAUCUUCGGCAAUGGACGAAAGUCUGACCGAGCAACGCCGCGUGAGUGAAGAAGGUUUUCGGAUCGUAAAACUCUGUUGGUAGAGAAGAACGUUGGUGAGAGUGGAAAGCUCAUCAAGUGACGGUAACUACCCAGAAAGGGACGGCUAACUACGUGCCAGCAGCCGCGGUAAUACGUAGGUCCCGAGCGUUGUCCGGAUUUAUUGGGCGUAAAGCGAGCGCAGGUGGUUUAUUAAGUCUGGUGUAAAAGGCAGUGGCUCAACCAUUGUAUGCAUUGGAAACUGGUAGACUUGAGUGCAGGAGAGGAGAGUGGAAUUCCAUGUGUAGCGGUGAAAUGCGUAGAUAUAUGGAGGAACACCGGUGGCGAAGGCAGCCAUCUGGCCUAAUACUGACGCUGAGGUACGAAAGCAUGGGGAGCAAACAGG
rnacentral:rRNA from 1 species